GUGUCAGCAGCCGCGGUAAUACGUAGGGUCCAAGCGUUGUCCGGAUUUAUUGGGCGUAAAGAGCUCGUAGGCGGCUCAGUAAGUCGGAUGUGAAAACUCGGGGCUCAACCCCGAGACGCCAUCCGAUACUGCUGUGGCUUGAGUCUGGUAGGGGAACACGGAAUUCCUGGUGUAGCGGUGAAAUGCGCAGAUAUCAGGAGGAACACCGAUGGCGAAGGCAGUGUUCUGGGCCAGUACUGACGCUGAGGAGCGAAAGCGUGGGUAGCAAACAGGAUUAGAUACCCUGGUAGUCC
rnacentral:rRNA from 1 species